GUGCUUGCUUCAGCGGCACACAUACUACAAUUGGAACAAUACAGAGAUUAGCAUGGCCCCUGGGCAAGGAUAACACGCAAAUUCGUGAAGCAUUUCAUAUAUAU
rnacentral:snRNA from 1 species